rnacentral:lncRNA from 1 species
GCUCUAGUGAGCUUUUCAAAUCGACUUAAUAACAAAAUACAAUAACCACACAACACACACACACACACAAUACAAUACACACAUACAAAAGUCAUGAAAACAACACACUUUUAAACAUAUAAUGCAUAGUAAGAUACCAUAAUGACAUAUAUAAGUUAAAAGCAUAUAGUACACUUAAAACAUAGCACAAGUUAAUAAUUAGAUUGCACAAAUCAAAUAGUCACACAGAAAAUAAAAGUAAAAUAAAACAGGCAUUAACACUAUAUGCAUGCACUGCACUGGCAUGAGCUGUUACUUGGAUCCCAUGUUUGUACCAAUUUUUUGAAUUGGUCGAAAGAUGUUUCCACUCGACAAUGGUUCGGUAGCUCAUUCCAGAUUUGUGCAGCAUUAUAGCGAAACGAUCUUAAGCCAUAUUUAGUAGUUCGAACUCUUGGGAGUACUGCUGUUUCCUGUGAUCUUAAAUCAUACUUGUUAAUUUUUAUAUCAAUCAAAUCAUGAAGGUAGCUCGGACUUUUUUGGUGAAUUAUUUUAAAUGUUUCUAUUGCA